UNCAAACAGCACCCGCUCGACCCACAG
rnacentral:piRNA from 1 species